rnacentral:rRNA from 1 species
AACGAACGCUGGCGGCGUGCUUAACACAUGCAAGUCGAACGGAAAGGCCGUGCUUUUUUGCGCUGCUGGGGGGGCGGACGGGGAAGUAACACGUAAGUAACGUGCCCUUCACUUUAGGGUGAGUUAAGGAAGCUGAAGCUAAUACCAGAUAGGAUCUCCUGCUGCAUGGUGGGGGUGGGAUAGUUUAGGCGGUUGGGGGUGGACUGGCGGCUUAUCGGCUUGUUGGUGGGGUAGUGGCUGACCAAGGCUUGGACGGGUAGGCGGCCUGAGAGGGUGACCGGACACACGGCGCCUGAGAUAGGGCCCAGACUGGAAUGGGAGGCAGCAGUGGGGAAUCUUGUACAAUGGGAGGGAGCCUGAGGCAGCAACGCCGGGUGCGGGAAGCCGUCUUGUGGGUUGUAAACCGCUGCCGCUUGAGACGAAGCGGUAGUGACGGUAACGGGAGAAGAAGCACCGGCUAACUACGUG